GAUGAACGCUGGCGGCGUGCCUAAUACAUGCAAGUCGAGCGAACGGACGAGAAGCUUGCUUCUCUGAUGUUAGCGGCGGACGGGUGAGUAACACGUGGAUAUCCUACCUAUAAGACUGGGAUAACUUCGGGAAACCGUAGCUAAUACCGGAUAAUAUUUUGAACCGCAUGUUUCAAAAGUGAAAGACGGUCUUGCUGUCACUUAUAGAUGGAUCCGCGCUGCAUUAGCUAGUUGGUAAGGUAACGGCUUACCAAGGCAACGAUGCAUAGCCGACCUGAGAGGGUGAUCGGCCACACUGGAACUGAGACACGGUCCAGACUCCUACGGGAGGCAGCAGUAGGGAAUCUUCCGCAAUGGGCGAAAGCCUGACGGAGCAACGCCGCGUGAGUGAUGAAGGUCUUCGGAUCGUAAAACUCUGUUAUUAGGGAAGAACAUAUGUGUAAGUAACUGUGCACAUCUUGACGGUACCUAAUCAGAAAGCCACGGCUAACUACGUG
rnacentral:rRNA from 1 species